rnacentral:misc_RNA from 1 species
UCCGAGUUGACCCCGGCAGUCUCCUAUGAGUCCCCGGCAUGACCCGCUGGCAACUGGAGACAAGGGUUUCGCUCGUUACGGGACUUAACCCAACAUCUCACGACACGAGCUGACGACAGCCAUGCAGCACCUGUAGUGGGUUCCGGACUGGAUACCGUUGGCUGGCCGUUUCCGGCAGCUACUCCCCACCGCUUUCGCACAUGUCAAGUCCAGGAUAAGGUUCUUCGCGUAGCCUCGAAUUAAGCCACAUGCUCCACCGCUUGUGUGAGCCCCCGUCAAUACCUUUGAGUUUCAGCCUUGCGACCAUACUCCCCAGGCGGGGUACUUAUCACUUUUGCUUCGGCAGGGAACCCAUGUAAGUCCCCUACCUAGUACCCAUCGUUUAGGGCCAGGACUA